GCCACAUCAUGUUGAAACAUCAGUUCCCAUAGGAUCACUGAAGUUAAGCAACAUUGAGCCUGGUCAGUACCUAGAUGGAUAACUGAGAAUACCAGGUGCUGUAAG